rnacentral:tRNA from 1 species
GGCCCAUUGGUGAAGCGGUUAAGACACUGCCCUUCACGGCAGUAACACGGAUUCGAAUCCCGUAUGGGUCACCA